rnacentral:lncRNA from 1 species
CACUUUGGGAGGCCAAGGUGGGAGGAUCGCUUAAACUCAGGAGUUUGAGACCAGCCUGGGCAACAUGGUGAAAACCUGUCUCUAUAAAAAAUUAAAAAAUAAUAAUAAUAACUGGUGUGGUGUUGUGCACCUAGAGUUCCAACUACUAGGGAAGCUGAGAUGAGAGGAUACCUUGAGCUGGGGACUGGGGAGGCUUAGGUUACAGUAAGCUGAGAUUGUGCCACUGCACUCCAGCUUGGACAAAAGAGCCUGAUCCUGUCUCAAAAAAAAGAAAGAUACCCAGGGCAAGUUAAGUUCGGAGGGGCACAGAGCUCCCAUGCCCUCUGUUGAACAUGCGACCCUCCCAGCAUCUCCUGUGUCCAGCAACCCUGAAAGCUCUGCAAACCCCUUUCAGGGUGUUUAUGGAGGCUUUAUUAUGCAAGCAUGAUUGAUAAAACCUUUGGCUGUUGGUGAUUAAGUCAGUCUCCAGCCCCUCUUCCCCCUGGAGUUCAGUGCAUGAGGCUGAAAGUUCCAAGCCUCUUACCAUGUGGUUGCAUGGUAAUCAGCCCUCCUCUUGAAGAAAUUUAGGAGCUUGCAGUCACCCAGUCAUCUCAACAACAUCCCCAAAUGCAUUCUUACCAUGCUGGAGAUCCCAAAGUUCUUAGAGGCUCUUGUGUUAGAAACCUGGGACCAAGAUCAAAUAUUAAAACAAAAGAUGCUCCUGUCACAUCUAUCACUGAGGUCUUUGUAAGAGCUUUAGAAGCUCUGUGCCAGGAACCAGGGACAGAGAUUAAAUAUAUAUUUCUUUUCUUUUUUUUGAGACAGAAUCUCCCUGUGCCAUCCAGGCUGGAGUGCAGUGAUGUGAUCAUAGCUCACUAUAGCUUUGGCCUUCUGAGAUCAAGCAAUCCUCCCAUCUCAACCUCCCAAGUAGCUAGGACUACACAUGCAUGUCACCCAUGCCCAGAUCAUUUUUGUAGAGUCAGAGUUUCACCGUGGUGGCCAGGUUGGCCAUGUUGGCCAGAUGGGGUCUUCUUUUGUUGCCCAGGCUGGCCACAAAUUCCUGGGCUCAAGUGAUCCUCCCACCUCGUCCUUGUAGAGAUGAGAUUUAGUUACGUCGUCCAGGCUGAUCUCAAACUCCUGGGCUAAAUCGAUUGUCUCACCUCAGCCUCUCAAGUAUGUUAUGAAGGUUAUAUGUUAGGAAGGGUCCCAGGAGGUAGACCCACACAGAUGGGAUUUGGGCAUAGGUUUGGUUUCCCAGGGGGCAGUGCUGAGCUCUUUGCCAGUGGGAAAUGGGAUGCUGGUGAUUUCCAGUAGGUGACCUCACAGUGACUCAAGCUACCACUUACUGUUGAUUGUGACGAAAUGCCAGCUGAGGCACAUGCCUUGGGAGCUAAGUGGUUGCUGCCCUUGACCACUGUGAAGACUGGUGUGGGAAGGGUCGUUUUGGAUGCACUUGAGCAGGGGUCCCCAACCCCUGAGCCAUGGAGCCGCAAGGAGCCACACAGCAGGAGGUGGGACCAUCCAGUUGCAGGAAAACAAGCUUAACACGCCCACUAAUUCUACAUUAUGCUCCUACCUCCCGGCAGCCUCUCCAGGCCCAGAACUUUCUCCAGUCAGCCUCUACAGACCAAGCUCAUGACUCACAAUGGCCUAUUUAGGCCCAUACCCUACGUCACGGCAGCCUCCGCAGAUGAGGCUACUGCCUCA